UGGAAGGGGGGAAACGUACCAAGUUUUCCGUAGGUGAACCUGCGGAAGGAUCAUUGUUGAGAGAGCAUUGAAGACGGAUGGUUGUGAAUGUGUUAACGCGCCCCUUUUCGUUCCCCCAUGUUGGCAGUUGAUUGAUCGUAGCUCGGUGCGAUCUGCACCAAGGACCAAUGAAUUCAGAGGCAUAUGCCCUUCAGCGUGCGCGGGGAGGCCAAUGCUUCGGAGAUGCUUCAAAUCAAAUGACUUUCGGCAAUGGAUAUUUCGGUUCUUGCAUCGAUGAAGAACGUAGUGAAUUGCGAUACUUGGUGUGAAUUGCAGAAUUUCGUGAACCAUUGAGUCUUUGAACGCAAGUUGUGCCCGAGCCCUUGUGGCCGAGGCCACCCCUGUUUGGGCGUCAUGGCUUCGUCGCCUUUGCCACUUGUUUUGCCGGUGCCAAGCGCGGAAAUUGGCUUCGUGUGCCUUCGGGCCCGGUCGGUUGAAGAGUGGGUAAUUCGCAGUCGUCGGGCGCGAUGGGUGUUGGUCGCCCUGUGCGUGAACUGAACGUCGUCCCCGUCGUGUUGGGAUGAGUCCUCAAGAGACCCUGUGUGAUUGCGGCGCCGCAUGAAAGUGCCGUGUCCAUCAAAUUGUGGCCCCAAGUCAGGCGAGGCCCACCCGCCGAGUUUAAGCAUAUAAAUAAGCGGAGGAGGAGAAACUUACGAGGAUUCCCCUAGUAACGGCGAGUGAACCGGGAUCGGCCCAGCUGAGAGUGAUC
rnacentral:rRNA from 1 species